rnacentral:snRNA from 1 species
GGAUGUGAAGGCGAUCUGGCUGCGACAUCUGUCACCCCGUUGAUCGCCAGGGUUGAUUCGGCUGAUCUGGCUGGCUAGGAGGGUGUCCCCUUCCUCCCUCACCGCUCCAUGUAUGUACCUCCCAAAGCUGCAUGCUUGAUCAAAGAGGACGGCCUUCCCCCAAAUAGAGAGGACUGGUCUUUGGUGAGGGUAUUCAAGUAGUUGUGCACCCCAGCUAGAACCUACAAACAAGCUCGGGGAGGGGGGGUAGCAAGGAAGAGAGACACCUGCAAACCUCCUUCACUUGUGAAGCUUUCUCCCUGCAGGUAGGG